GGGCCGCAAUUGGUGUUUCGGCCCAUUAACCCUCCCAAACCCUAGCCGCCACCCUCCUAACUACCCCCCCCAUGUGCAGCCGCCCCCCCACUCCUCCUUUCCCCUUGGCCGCCCCCCCCUGCCCACCUCCUCCUCUCUCCAUUGUUGCAGCCACCAAAACCCUAGCCGCCCCCCCCCCAAUCCCCUCCUCCCUAGGUGCUACUCCGUGCCGCUCGAAUCAUCGUCUCUUGGUGCGAAUCUCCAAUCGUUUUGGUGGAGGGAUGAAGGGAGGAAGGAAAAGGGGAGAACCCAAGGUGGUGGACUUCCGGAUUGUUCUUAGGGAUUUUGCCCGAACUUCGGUAAAGGCAAGUAAAUACAGUGGUGGUUGCUACCGUUUGGUUUGCAUCCUAUUCCCUGUCAUUGAGUAUGCAUAAGUUUUAAUUAUGUUAAUCAUUGAAUUCUAUGAUGAAGUUUAUUUGUUUGGAAGUAUUAAUUCUCAAUUUUUCUAAUAUUGUGGAUGAUCAUAAUUUGGUAAUGAUAUAUGUGGUUGAUUCCCAUCUGGAUGAAGUGGAAGUGUCUUUUUGAAUCAUGUUAUAUGAAGUGUUGUAGGCAUGACAUGCACAUCGCAUCCUCCAUCUUGCAUUUUGAAGUUAUGUCGUGAUCUUAUGGUCCGACCGUACCGAUACAUUUUUAGCAUCGUACGUUGCCCGAGAAGGGGUACGAUGCGGCUUCAUAUCCUUAGAGGUAUGAAGGCAGAAGUCAUCCUUGCAUUUGCAGACAUUUGCACUCAUGAGGAAUAUAUGAAGUGUGACAUUACUAUGUUACUAUUGUGGUAUCUACCUGCGAGGUGUGGUAACUAGGUGCGUUGUACGUUGUAUACGUGCUGCACCUUCGUAAUAAGAAGGUUGUGGAAUUAAGUGGUGGUAAAACAAUGUUCUUAUGUGGUUAAACUGUUUGAUAUUAUUUUACUUGCUGAGAUGUGUCAUCUCACUCUUGCAUUACUCAAUGCAGGUACUUGAUAUAUGUUGGGAAUGAGGGGAGUAGCAGCACGUCCACUUUCACUCUCACAAUAACGCUGCCCAGGCGCAGCCAUGAUUUAAUUAGAAACCUAUUGUCAAAGGAAGUUUGUUUAUUUUUUUUUAUAUGGUCGUGCGCACUGGUUAAUUCAGUUCAGGUCGUAUGUUUACCUUUCCUUGCUAGCCGAGUAAUAAUACUUAGUAUGUUUUAGUCAUAAUAUAUGUUUGUACUCUGUUGCUCCCUCUUUUAUGCAAUCUUGCAAAGGGGAUGCUGCCGAAAUUUUAUGUAUGGACGUUGGAAGUGUAGUACAGUAGCAUACCGGGUUGUUUGUGGAA